ACACUUACCUGGCAGGGGAAUACCAUGAUCACUGAGGGUGGUUUUCCCAGGGCAAGGCUCAUGCAUUGCAAUCUGGAUGUGCUGACUCCUGUGAUUUCCCCAGAUGUGGGAAACUUCACUGAAUAAUUUGUGGUAGUGGGAAACUGCAUUUGUGCUUUCCUCUG
rfam:Pteropus alecto contig94914, whole genome shotgun sequence.